rnacentral:rRNA from 1 species
UACGGAGGGAGCUAGCGUUGUUCGGAAUUACUGGGCGUAAAGCGCACGUAGGCGGCUACACAAGUCAGAGGUGAAAGCCCGGGGCUCAACCCCGGAACUGCCUUUGAAACUAGGUGGCUAGAAUCUUGGAGAGGUCAGUGGAAUUCCGAGUGUAGAGGUGAAAUUCGUAGAUAUUCGGAAGAACACCAGUGGCGAAGGCGACUGACUGGACAAGUAUUGACGCUGAGGUGCGAAAGCGUGGGGAGCAAAC